rnacentral:rRNA from 1 species
ACGUAGGUGGCAAGCGUUGUCCGGAAUAACUGGGCAUAAAGCGAAUGUAGACGGCAUGAUAAGCAAAAUGUGAAAUGUAGGGGCACAACCCCUAAACUGCGAUUGGAACUGUCAAGCUUGAGUGCAGGAGAGGCAAGUGGAAUUCCCAGUGUAGCAGUGAAAUGCGUAGAGAUUGGGAGGAACACCAGUGGCGAAGGCGACUUUCUGGACUGCAACUGACGUUGAGACGCGAAAGCGUGGGGAGCAAACGG